rnacentral:rRNA from 1 species
UACGGAGGGUGCAAGCGUUAUCCGGAUUCACUGGGUUUAAAGGGUGCGUAGGAGGGCAGGUAAGUCAGUGGUGAAAUCUCCGAGCUUAACUUGGAAACUGCCGUUGAUACUAUCUGUCUUGAAUACCGUGGAGGUGAGCGGAAUAUGUCAUGUAGCGGUGAAAUGCUUAGAUAUGACAUAGAACACCAAUUGCGAAGGCAGCUCACUACACGCAUAUUGACUCUGAGGCACGAAAGCGUGGGGAUCAAACAGG